AUUGAACGCUGGCGGCAUGCCUUACACAUGCAAGUCGAACGGCAGCGCGGACUUCGGUCUGGCGGCGAGUGGCGAACGGGUGAGUAAUGUAUCGGAACGUACCAUUCAGUGGGGGAUAACGCAGCGAAAGUUGCGCUAAUACCGCAUAUUCUGUGCGCAGGAAAGCAGGGGAUCGCAAGACCUUGCGCUGAUUAAGCGGCCGAUAUCAGAUUAGCUAGUUGGUGAGGUAAAGGCUCACCAAGGCGACGAUCUGUAGCGGGUCUGAGAGUAUGAUCCGCCACACUGGAACUGGGACACGGUCCAGACUCCUACGGGAGGCAGCAGUGGGGAAUUUUGGACAAUGGGCGCAAGCCUGAUCCAGCCAUGCCGCGUGAGUGAAGAAGGCCUUCGGGUUGUAAAGCUCUUUCGGCCGGGAAGAAAUCGCAUGGGUUAAUACCCUGUGCGGAUGACGGUACCGGCAUAAGAAGCACCGGCUAACUACGUGCCAGCCGCCGCUGUAA
rnacentral:rRNA from 1 species